UAGCCGUAAACGAUGCAGACUAGGUGUUUGGACGGCCACGUGCCGUUCUAGUGCCGCAGGGAAGCUGUUAAGUCUGCCGCCUGGGGAGUACGAUCGCAAGAUUGAAACUUAAAGGAAUUGGCGGGGGAGCACCACAACGGGUGGAGCUUGCGGUUUAAUUGGAUUCAACGCCGGACAACUCACCAGGAGCGACGGUUACAUGAAGGCCAGGCUGAUGACCUUGCCUGAUUUUCCGAGAGGUGGUGCAUGGCGUAGUCGUGU
rnacentral:rRNA from 1 species